rnacentral:rRNA from 1 species
AUACGUAGGGUGCGAGCGUUAAUCGGAAUUACUGGGCGUAAAGCGUGCGCAGGCGGUUUUGUAAGACAGGCGUGAAAUCCCCGGGCUCAACCUGGGAACUGCGUUUGUGACUGCAAGGCUAGAGUAUGGCAGAGGGGGGUGGAAUUCCACGUGUAGCAGUGAAAUGCGUAGAGAUGUGGAGGAACACCGAUGGCGAAGGCAGCCCCCUGGGCCAAUACUGACGCUCAUGCACGAAAGCGUGGGUAGCAAACAGGAUUAGAUACCCUGGUAGUCCACGCCCUAAACGAUGUCAACUAGGUGUUGGGUGGGUAAAACCAUUUAGUACCGGAGCUAACGCGUGAAGUUGACCGCCUGGGGAGUACGGCCGCAAGGUUAAA